CUUGUAUCCUGCCACGUUCCAUGUUAGCAGCUCAUAAAUGCUGCACUGAGUAGUCUCAUCCUUGAGAAGAACAACACUCCCUGGCUUGAUGUCUCGACAAACUGUCUGCCAUUUUGUGUGUGGUUGCAUUGUUGGGAGGAAUUGUUUCCGCCACCUAUCCCAGAAUGUGUUCGACAGGUGUUGAACUUGUCGCCACUGGCACUUGUAGAGAUCUAAAGCUACAAACUCACCAAGAGGUGCUGGAAGAGACCUUUUGUGUCAGAAGUGUAGCUGGGAUCCCAGUAAUCAAGGCUGCUCGCCGUGACUGCCAGACAUCGGCCUCAGCUCCUGAACAUCCAAGGGUUGCCCAUCCAGGAAUAUCUCAUCCAACUUUCACAAGAUGGUCUCCUUUGGAGACACCAUCUGUUUGUCUAACACUAUGUAUGUACAUGCAGCCUAAGUGAAGUCGUUGCAGCAAGCCUUCUCCAACUUACUGCAGUCCUGUAUUCACAAAUAUUGCUCAUGUAAUUUAUAUAUUGGAAGUGCUGUAAUGAAUCAAUAAAGUACAAAUGAGGAAUUUUCAGUGGUCAUUAUAAGACUGAUCCAUAGUUCUGUUUAUCUUAUUUAAUAUAUUUGUA